rnacentral:snRNA from 1 species
GGAUGUGAGGGUGACCUGGCUGCAGGGUUGAUUUGGCCUAUCUGGCUGGCAAAGUGGCUGUCCCCUUCUUCCCUCACUGCUCCAUGUGUAUCCCUCCCAAAACUGCAUGCUUAGUUAAACAGAAUGACUUUCCAUGAUAGAGGAGGACCAUUAUCAGUCAAGGGUAUAGAAGUAGCUGCACUCCCUUGCUAGAACCUCCAAACAAGCUCUCAAUACCUGGAAAAUGUUAGGGACUUACUUAGAAUGGCAAACACCAUUCACCCUGCU